rnacentral:lncRNA from 10 species
ACCAUGUACAUUUUUUUUUUUCCAAAAAUAAUAAAGCCAGGAAGACCUCCUGCACAACGCCCCCAUUGUUUGACUUGAGCUGGGGGUGGAGCUUCUCUGCCUUGCGCUAACUGUCACAAGUUCUAUUAGAGGAAUUUCUUCUUUGAGGAUCCUGAUGCAAGAGAGCUCAGAGGAUGGUACAGCGGACACCAACCUGAAUGCAACAGCCCCCCAAGCCCUUCCAGCUGAAACUGUCCCCUCUUUGAAAACCACAGGUGUCGGCCGGGCAUGGUGGCUCACGCCUGUAAUCCCAGCACUUUGGUAGGCUGAGGCAGGUGGAUCACCUGAGGUCAGGAGUUCAAGACCAUCCUGACCAACAUGGUGAAACCCCGCCUCCACUAAAAAUACAAAAAUUAGCCAGGCAUGGUGGUGGGUGCCUGUAAUCCCAGCUACUCAGGAGGCUGUGCCAGGAGAAUCGCUCGAACCUAGGAGGUGGAGGUUGCAGUGAGCCGAGAUUGCGCCGUUGGACUCUAGCCUGGGCAACAGAGCAAGACUCGUCUCAAGAAAAAAAAAAGAGAGAGAAAACGAUACGUGUCCUGGUGACGACUCCUGCACCUUCCCUGCUAGCCUGCCUUGCUCUGCCCUGCCUCCUCCCUCCUCCUGCUGUGGCCUCUGGAGCUCCUCUCUCCUGGCUCACCCAGGGACGUCACCCUUGCCUCUUCUCUCUGCGACUCCCAGGCAAAGGACUUUCCGCUCACAAGCAAACAUGUGCUGGCAGGUCUCUUCCUGUGAUCCCUCCACCCUCUAUAGCUACUGCCCCGAUCCCUCUGCUUCCUCCAGCUUCUCGUCAAUUCGCCUGGGCGGCGGGGAGUCUGCGCUUUUGGGAUGUGAUUGGUGCUCCCCAGGCGAUCCUCAUUUACAGCUAGUGGGGACAGCCACCAAGUCACAGCCUUCCAGAAAUUUCACCCAUCCUAUUGCCUUAACCAAUGGCAAGCUGAUAAAUGUUUAAUAGUCAGCUCUGGGGCAUGGGGACAAAUAGCCCUGAUCUGUAUCAUUAUGCAGUUCCUAUGAUGUGACUAUUUCCACCAUGGCCAAUUUCAAGCUGCCAACAGGAAGAGUACUGGCUGUCAAAAUUCCUGCAAAUUUUACAACCCAGGACAAUUCCAUCUGUGGGUGGCAUCUCCCUGGAGCCUGGGUCUACUCUCUGAGUUGGCUCACCUGUCCCUCUGGAACCUGGUUAGGCCAUGGGUGAAAAUCAGCUUCCAUGCCCACUGCAGAGGGAAGGAAAGGAUGCUUGCAUUGAGUGACUGCUGGAGCAGCAGGGGCUUCCCCGCUUUACAGUUUUACAAAGCACUGCAAUUAUCUCAUGUAAGACUCAAGUCUAAAGUGACGUGGCCAAGACCACACAGCAAGCAGGUUCUAGAGCCAGCCUCAGACCAUCCCCACCGUGAGUCCCCCGUGCGAGUGCCCCUUGAAGGAGGUUUUCUAACAGAUUUGGGGACUUCUAUGUGAAGUCUUUGCCGAAGUCCACACCCUGGAAGAUGCAGGGAGGAUGAAAACGUGCCCAUCUGCCUCUGGCUUUUGAUUCCAGCCCCACCACAGCACAGCUGCCUUCGAAAACACAGGGCAGGAGCUUUCUGCAGCAGUGGCUGGUGGGACAGACAGAUGGACGGACACACACACACAGGCAGCAGAACUGGAGCUUCCUGUAUCCACCACCGCAGUCACAACGCUGAACGCUGCGGCACCCCAAGGACGCCCUGGAUCACUCUUUUGCAACUGGACCGACCUCCUUCCUCUUCCUAAUCUGCCUCCAAGUCUCCAAGUCUGUUAUUUCAAGAAUCUUAUGUGAACGGAAUCAUACACCUUGUAACCUUCUGGGAGUGGCUUUUUCCCUCAAAAUCAUUCCCUGGAGAUUCCUGCAAGGUCUUGUGUGGCCCAGUCCGGGGUUCCUUUUCCCGAUCCGUGACGUGGAGGCACGACAGCAUGUUUAGCAUUCGCCCACUGAAGGUCAACCAGGUGUUUCUGGUUUUUGGCUAUUAUGCAUAAGCUGCUAUGAACACUUGUAUGCAGCUUCUUUUAUUUUUUAUUUUUAUUUUUUAGAGACAGGGUCUUGCUCUGUCGCCCAGGCUGGAGUGUAGUGGCACAAUCACAGCUCACUGUAGCCUCAAACUCCCAGGCUCAAGUGAUCCUCCCCACUCAGCCUUCUGAGUAGCUGGGACUACAAGUGUGCACCACCACGCCCUGCUAAUUUUUAAAGUUUUUUUAUAGAGACAGGGUCUUGCUAUGUUGCCUGGGCUGAUCGCAAACUCCUGACUGAGUAAUCCUCCCGCCUCGGCCUCCCAGGGUGUUGGGACUAUAGGCGUAAUCUACCACGCCCAGCCUUGUGUAUAGGUUUUGAUGUGAACAAAAGCUUCCAUUUCUCUGGGAUAAAUGGCCAAGAGCACAGUUGCUGGGUCUUAUGGCAAUUGUGUGUUUAGUUUUAUAAGAAACUGCCAAAUUGUUUUCCAGAGGGGCUGCACCAUGUGACAGGACCAGUAGCAGUUUCUUUUUCUUGUUUUUUUCUUUUUUUUUUUUUUCGAGACGGAGUUUUGCUCUGUCGCCGAGGCUGGAGUGCAAUGGCACGAUCUUGGCUCACUGCAACUUGUACCUCCUCAGUUCAAGCAACACUCCUGCCUCAGCCUCCCGAGUAGCUGGGAUUAUAGACACCCGCCAUCAUGCCCAGCUAAUUUUUGUAGAGAUAGGGUUUCACCAUGUUGGCCAGGCUGGUUCCGAACUCCUGACCUCAGGUGAUCCACCCGCCUUGGCCUCCCAGAGUGCUGGGAUUACAGGCGUGAGCCACCACGCCUGGCCCCCGGUAGCAUUUUCUGAGUGAUCCUAUUUCUGUGCAUCCCCACCAGCAUUUGGCGUUGCCACUAUUUUUAAUUUCUGAUAGGUGUUGAUGGUAUCUCACUGUGGUUCUAAUUUGCAUUCCCCCCAUGGCUCAUGGUGUUGGACAGCUUUUCAUGUGCUCACUUGCCAUCUGUAUAUUCUCUUUGGUGAAAUGUCACCAUUGAAUUUGAAGCGAGUUUCUUGUAAACAGUGUAUGGUUAGGUUGUUUUUCAAAAAAUAGACUGCCAAUCUCUUGCUUUUUACUUGGUGUAUUUCAUUUACCUUUAAAGAAAAUUAUCAAUAUGUUAGGACUUAGGUCUGCCAUUUAAGGAUUUGUUUUCUCUGUGUAUGUUUUCUUGCUUUUCUGUGGAUUCCUUGAACAUUAGGAUUGAGGUUCAUCUUGGUUGAUUUAUAGUCAUCUAGAGGGCGUUUCUUUGUAUCACUUCCCUAGUGGUCGCUCUGGUUAUUACAAGGUACACGGGUAGCAUUUUACCACCUGCAGUGAAUGUGGAAGCCUUACUUCCAUGUAGGUUCUUUAACCUGUCCCCCUUUUAUUUUCAUUUUAUGUUAUUUUUGAGACAGGGUCUCACUUUGUUGCCCAGGCUGGAGUGCAGUGGCACAAUCACGGCUCACCGCAGCCUCAACCUCCUGUUCUUAAGUGAUCUUCCUGCCUCAGCUGCCUGAGUAACCAGGACUACAGGCACAUGUCACCACACCUGGCCUAUUGAUUGAUUGAUUGAUUGUAGAGAUGGGGUCUCACUAUGUUGCCUGGGCUGGUCUUUAACACCUGGGCUCAAAGGAUUCUCAUGCUUCAGCCUCCCAAAGUGCUGGGAUUACAGGCGUGGGCCACUGCACCCCCCACCACACCUUUUUAAAUAUCAUUGUCUUGAAUAUCAGACAGUGUUAGAAUUUUUGCUUCAAUCAUUAAAUUUGAUUUAUAAAGCUCAUGAGAAGGAUCAUCUAUUGCAGAUUCCCAUACACUUGUUCUUUCCAUUAUUUUUUCCUUCUUAAUGCUCCAAGAUUCCAUUUUAUUUUAUUUUAUUUUAUUUAUUAUUAUUUGAAAUAGAGUCUCUCUCCGUCGCCCAGGCUGGAGUGCAGUGGCGUGAUCUCGGCUCGCUGCAGCCUCCGCCUCCCG